UUUGAUGACAAUUAUUUCUAAGAAACACCGUAAAAAAUAAGUGAUGUUGGCGAAAUCCGAGGACAUGAAAACAGCGAGCGAUGUUGGUGUUAUGUAGUACUUGACAAGGAUUUGCAUGUUAAACACAUUUCCUCCUGCAUUUGAUCCGGCUGUAAACAAUCAUAAUUAAUUAUUUGCGGUUACCAGGCUUAUAAAUACGCGCGGCUUGGUAAGUUAAAUCACUCUUGUCCACAGUUGCGUUAUCACAGGUGAUUGGGUAAAUAUCAUCAUAACUUAUUAGGAUGAACAACAAGCUGGUAGUGACGAUUCUCCUGGUGGCCGUGGGCUUAGUGUGCCUCGGUAUAAGUCCGGUGAAAGGUCAGUAUGGCCCGCCCCGCUGUAACUGGAUCUGUCGUCCGGGUGGAUAUUCGUGUCGUCCUAACGAGAUUUACGCGGGCAACUGCGUAGUCGGCGGCUGGCGACCAGGAAGUUGUUGUCGAUCGUCUUACGGCCGAUAGGAGGAAAUGGUCUUCUGAUGAUGUAUUCGUGAGAUGCUGACAGACAAAAAGAAGAGCUAACUUUCGAGAAUCCUGCUUUAUUAUGAAAUGACAUUAUGUGACGUCAUUAAAUGCGUUUAAAAAAAGAAAA